GGCAGCAGUGAGGAAUAUUGGUCAAUGGGCGUAAGCCUGAACCAGCCAAGUCGCGUGAGGGAUGAAGGUUCUAUGGAUCGUAAACCUCUUUUAUAAGGGAAUAAAGUGUGGGACGUGUCCUGUUUUGUAUGUACCUUAUGAAUAAGGAUCGGCUAACUCCGUGCCAGCAGCCGCGGUAAUACGGAGGAUCCGAGCGUUAUCCGGAUUUAUUGGGUUUAAAGGGUGCGUAGGCGGCCUUUUAAGUCAGCGGUGAAAGUCUGUGGCUCAACCAUAGAAUUGCCGUUGAAACUGGGAGGCUUGAGUAUGUUUGAGGCAGGCGGAAUGCGUGGUGUAGCGGUGAAAUGCUUAGAUAUCACGCAGAACCCCGAUUGCGAAGGCAGCCUGCCAAGCCAUGACUGACGCUGAUGCACGAAAGCGUGGGGAUCAAACAGGAUUAGAUACCCUGGUAGUCCACGCA
rnacentral:rRNA from 1 species